rnacentral:sRNA from 2 species
CACGGGAUACCGACGAACAACUUGGAUGGAGGCGGGGGACCCACCGGUCCGCCGAGUCAAAACGGACCUGGAGCCAUCGGCUCCUUGGGGUGAAGCCGGAUCGCAUAGUGCGACACGGCCGGGCAUACCUCUCCAGCCCGAACCCGACAGCUGACCUCGUAGGCGCCGAAGAGAGGACCG